UACGAAGGGGGCUAGCGUUGCUCGGAAUCACUGGGCGUAAAGGGUGCGUAGGCGGGUCUUUAAGUUAGAGGUGAAAGCCCGGGGCUCAACCCCGGAAUAGCCUUUAAGACUGCAUCGCUUGAACACGGGAGAGGUGAGUGGAAUUCCGAGUGUAGAGGUGAAAUUCGUAGAUAUUCGGAAGAACACCAGUGGCGAAGGCGGCUCACUGGACCGUUGUUGACGCUGAGGUGCGAAAGCGUGGGGAGCAAACAGG
rnacentral:rRNA from 1 species